rnacentral:rRNA from 1 species
UACGGGGGGGGCAAGCGUUGUUCGGAAUUACUGGGCGUAAAGGGUGCGUAGGCGGUCCGCUAAGUUGGAUGUGAAAACUCUGGGCUUAACCCAGAGCCUGCAUUCAAAACUGACGGGCUAGAGUUCUGGAGGGGUAGCGGAAUUCCUGGUGUAGCGGUGAAAUGCGUAGAGAUCCCCAAGAACACCAGUUGCGAAGGCGGCCGUCUGGACACAUAUUGACGCUGAGGCUCGAAAGCAUGGGGAGCAAACAGGG